CCUACGGGAGGCAGCAGUGGGGAAUAUUGGUCAAUGGGCGAAAGCCUGAACCAGCCAAGUCGCGUGAGUGAAGACUGCCCUAUGUAUGUUAAGCUUCUUUUGUAGGGAAGUAAAUCACGGUACGUGUGUCAGUAGCCACGGUUAAUUACGGUCCAGCAGCGGCUGGAAUACGUAGGGGGCCAGCGUUAUCCGGAUUUACUGGGUGUAAAGGGGGCGUAGACGGCUUUGCAAGUCUGGAGUGAAAGGCGGGGGCUCAACCCCCGGACUGCUCUGGAAACUGGACGGCUGGAGUGCAGGAGAGGUAAGUGGAAUUCGUAGUGUAGCGGUGAAAUGCGUAGAUAUUAGGAAGAACACCAGUGGCGAAGGCAGCUUACUGGACUGUAACUGACGUUGAGGCUCGAAAGCGUGGGGAUCAAACAGGAUUAGAUACCCGGGUAGUC
rnacentral:rRNA from 1 species